rnacentral:rRNA from 1 species
GUAGGUGGCAAGCGUUGUCCGGAAUUAUUGGGCGUAAAGCGCGCGCAGGCGGUUCUUUAAGUCUGAUGUGAAAGCCCACGGCUCAACCGUGGAGGGUCAUUGGAAACUGGAGAACUUGAGUACAGAAGAGGAAAGCGGAAUUCCACGUGUAGCGGUGAAAUGCGUAGAGAUGUGGAGGAACACCAGUGGCGAAGGCGGCUUUCUGGUCUGUAACUGACGCUGAGGCGCGAAAGCGUGGGGAGCAAACAGGGAUUAGAUACCCUGGUAGUCCACGCCGUAAACGAUGAGUGCUAAGUGUUAGGGGGGGUUUUCCCGCCCCCCUUAGUGCUGCAGCUAACGCAUUAAGCACUCCGCCGUGGGGAGUACCGGCCGCAAGGCUG